CGAGCUCAGGGACCUCUGGGUUCACGGGGGCGGGGUGCCUCCUACUGUGCCGGCGGCUGUGGGCGAGGCAGGGCGAGGCGGGCCCAACCUGGGGCCAACUUCUCGUGUACCUGUCCCGGUUGUGGGCCCGGCACCCGUGCCCGCUUCUCUGGUGCCCUAGGUCAAGGCGUCCCCGGCACAGUCAGCUUUCCUGGCCCUGUCCCUGCCUCGCAAGAAGCGUGGGCCCAAGCAGCGGCGGCCGGGUGAAGAGCGGAGGCACCUCUUUCUUCUUUUUGAGGACAGCAUUGCCUGCUCCCGUGGGGUGUGUUUCCAUUCCUCAAGAAAGCUCUGGGAGUGA
rnacentral:lncRNA from 1 species